rfam:Glycine max cultivar Williams 82 chromosome 3, whole genome shotgun sequence.
GACCAAUUAGCUCAGUUGCUUUGAGCGUCGUGCUAAUAAUAUGAAAGUUACAGAUUUAAAUCCUGCAUGAGUCA